rnacentral:lncRNA from 1 species
AUGAUAAAGCUCAGCUGGAGUCUCAUAUUUAACACCUUUUGUCUGUCAUCUGUCUUUGGUCUAUCUGUCUCUCCAUCUGUCUGUCAUCUGUCUGUCGUCCAUUUGUUUGUCUCUCUAUCUGUCUGUCAUCCAUCUGUCUGUUUGUCAUCUGUCUAUCUCUCCAUCUGUCUGUUUGUCAUCUGUCUAUCUGUCUCUCCAUUUGUCUGUCUGUCUGUCUGUCUGUCUUUCCAUCUGUCUGUCGUCUGUCUGUCAUCUGUCUGUCGUCCAUCUGUCUGUCUCUUCAUCUGUCUGCCCUUCUGUCUGUCUGUCUAUCUCUCCAUCUGUAUGUCAUCCAUCUGUCUGUCUGUCUGUCAUCUGUCUGUCUGUCUAUCGUCUGUCUGUCGUCUGUCGUCUGUCUGUCAUCCAUCUGUCUGUCUGUCAUCCAUCUGUCUGUCUAUCAUCUGUCUGUCGUCUGUCUGUCUGUCUGUCGUCCAUCUAUCUGUCGUCUGUCGGUUUGUCAUCUGUCUGUCGUCUGUGACAUCUGUCUGUCAUCCAUCUGUCUGUCUGUCGCCUAUCUGUCUGUCGUCUGUCUGUCUGUCAUCCAUCUGUCUGUCUGUCUGUCUGUUUGUCGUCUGUCUGUCUGUCUGUCUAUCAUCCAUCUGUCUGUCUGUCGCCUAUCUGUCUGUCGUCUGUCUGUCUGUCUGUCAGCUGUCUGUCGUCUGUCAGUCAUCCAUAUGUCUGUCUGUCAUCUGUCUGUCUGUCGUCCAUCUAUCUGUCGUCUGUCGGUUUGUCAUCUGUCUGUCGUCUGUGACGUCUGUCUGUCAUCCAUCUGUCUGUCGCCUAUCUGUCUGUCUGUCUGUCUGUCAUCCAUCUGUCUGUCUGUCUGUCGUCUGUCUAUCUGUCUGUCUGUCUGUCUGUCAUCCAUCUGUCUGUCUGUCUGUCGUCUGUCUGUCUGUCUGUCUGUCUGUCUGUCAUCCAUCUGUCUGUCUGUCUGUCUGUCAUCCAUCUGUCUGUCUGUCUGUCGUCUGUCUGUCAUCCAUCUGUCUGUCUGUCUGUCAUCCAUCUGUCUGUCUGUCUGUCUGUCGUCUGUCUGUCUGUCUGUCAUCCAUCUGUCUGUCUGUCGCCUAUCUGUCUGUCGUCUGUCUGUCUGUCUGUCUGUCUGUAAUCUGUUGUCCAUCUGUCUGUCGUCUGUCUGUCUUCCAUCUGUCUGUCAUCUGUCUGUCUGUCUGUCUGUCUGUCAUCCAUCUGUCUGUCUGUCUGUCGUCUGUCUGUCUGUCAUCCAUCUGUCUGUCUGUCUGUCUGUCAUCCAUCUGUCUGUCUGUCUGUCGUCUGUCUGUCUGUCUGUCUGUCAUCCAUCUGUCUGUCUGUCUGUCUGUCGUCUGUCUGUCUGUCUGUCAUCCAUCUGUCUGUCUGUCGCCUAUCUGUCUGUCGUCUGUCUGUCUGUCGUCUGUCUGUCUGUCUGUCUGUCUGUAA